ensembl:snRNA U7 U7 small nuclear RNA
GAACAUUGUCUCUUUUAGUAUUUCUCUAGUAGGUUUCCUCAAGGAGAAAGCCGUC